GACGAACGCUGGCGGCGUGCUUAACACAUGCAAGUCGAACGGAAAGGCCCUGCUUUUGUGGGGUGCUCGAGUGGCGAACGGGUGAGUAACACGUGAGUAACCUGCCCUUGACUUUGGGAUAACUUCAGGAAACUGGGGCUAAUACCGGAUAGGAGCUCCUGCUGCAUGGUGGGGGUUGGAAAGUUUCGGCGGUUGGGGAUGGACUCGCGGCUUAUCAGCUUGUUGGUGGGGUAGUGGCUUACCAAGGCUUUGACGGGUAGCCGGCCUGAGAGGGUGACCGGGCCCAGUUGGGCAGUGAGAUGGCCCCGGGCCCUAGGGGGGGGGAGGGGUGGGGAAAUGUGCAAAAGGGGGGGGAGCCGGAGAGAGCAACGCCGGGGGGGGGAGGGCGGCCUGGGGUUUGUAAACCGCUUUCCCCGGUGGAGAAGGGGUAGGGGCGGAAAGGGGUAAAGAAACCGCGGCUAACUACGU
rnacentral:rRNA from 1 species